rnacentral:rRNA from 1 species
GACGAACGCUGGCGGCGUGCUUAACACAUGCAAGUCGAACGAAGAGCGAUGGAAGCUUGCUUCUAUCAAUCUUAGUGGCGAACGGGUGAGUAACGCGUAAUCAACCUGCCCUUCAGAGGGGGACAACAGUUGGAAACGACUGCUAAUACCGCAUACGAUCUAACCUCGGCAUCGAGGAAAGAUGAAAGGUGGCCUCUAUGUAUAAGCUAUCACUGAAGGAGGGGAUUGCGUCUGAUUAGCUAGUUGGAGGGGUAACGGCCCACCAAGGCGAUGAUCAGUAGCCGGUCUGAGAGGAUGAACGGCCACAUUGGGACUGAGACACGGCCCAGACUCCUACGGGAGGCAGCAGUGGGGAAUCUUCCGCAAUGGACGAAAGUCUGACGGAGCAACGCCGCGUGAGUGAUGACGGCCUUCGGGUUGUAAAGCUCUGUUAAUCGGGACGAAAGGCCUUCUUGCGAAUAGGGAGAAGGAUUGACGGUACCGGAAUAGAAAGCCACGGCUAACUACGUG